rnacentral:lncRNA from 1 species
AGGCUGAGUUGGAGAAGAAGGGGAUGGUGUUCCUCCGCUGGUAGGUGGAGUAGGAGUGGUUCCAGAUGAAGGAGGAGUAGGUGAAGGAGGAGUAGAUGAAGGAGGAGUAGAUGAAGAAGAUGUUGGAACUUUAAUGGUUAGCUUUUGACCGCCAGAUUGACAAUGGGAUGAGACGGUACAUAUGAAAUAGAAAUCACCAGUUCUGUUAAGAGUCACUCUUGCUGGUGAUGUUGUUAUUAUGUCAUUUGUAUUUUGAUUCACAUUGCAGUUGUCAAAGUCUGCCUUGUUGGUUGCAGCAACAGUGUGCGCACCCGCAAAGAAAUUGAAAACUGUAAUAGCAGCAUUAGGGUAAGACACUAUUUCAUUCAAUCAAAUUAAUAUUUUUAAAAGAUAAAAUAAAAACUCACCUAGAACAUCGUUUUGUUUGAAUGUGUUAUUGGACGCCCAGUCAGAGUAAAACUUAGCGCCAGCACUACUUGUCCAACCUGUUGAGUCUCCAACUGUAUGAUCUGCUGCUUCUGUUCUUUCCAAUAUUGUUGCAACAAAAGCAAAAACUACUAAAAUAAUUGACAUAUUCCUUAACUGAGACAUUCUUUUUGUUCUUCUUAAUCUUUGUUUUCAAGUCGCCCCUGUUUGUUUGUGUAUUUCUGUUUAUCCGAAACACUUGAAUUGAAUUUGAUAUUAUAUCUUCUCUUUUGAUUCAUUAUAUAUAGAGAGGAUUCACACGCUAUCCUUACUUAAUUAUAGGAGGAACUUUUGACUGAGUUUUUCUUUUUUCUUUAAUUUAAUUAAUUAAAUUAUGAUAGACCGGUUGAGUUGGGUCAAUAUUUCAAUAUCAAUAUGGAACUUGUCUAUGUUAUCUCACCUAUUCACGCGUACAUAAUUCCUUGUGUUUGAAAUUUUAUGAAAUUCUAAUUCUUCACAUUAUUUAUUAAGCAAAAUAUUAUAAAAAGAGUACAAGUAGCCUAGCCUAGAAAACAUCAGCACACAUUUUUAUCGGUUCUCCAUCAAACCUCCAAUGACAUAAUAACAACUUUCUUUCAAAUCAACUUUGAAGAAACACUUAUUAAUUGAGUUAAUUUCUUGAGAGCAAACAAGUUGUGUGUGAAAAUCUUCCGGAAAGCUUCAUCUUCAACCUUUAGUCAAACACUAACUAUUAUGGUUGCUCAAGUUUAAAAGUGAGAGUGUGAGUCAUUGGUUGGUGUUGAAACAUACUCUAUUUUUGUUUUAAAACUAAUAAACUAUUUUAGAUUCUUGAAAAAAUUCCAAAAAACGCUAUUGGACAUUAAAAUGCAAACGUACAAGUAAGUCCAUCAAUUAUCAAAGCUUAUAAAAUUCUUUCAUAAUAAUUUACAUCUAAAAAAUAGCACAACCAACCUGGGGAUUUAAAAAACCUUCCAAGGAUAAAACUCACUACAACACUAAAAGACAUUGAAAAUCUGGCCAGCCCCAUGUGAUAUAAAAUACAAUUGGAUCAAUCUUCAAAUAUUAUAAAGCAACAAGUUCCCAAAUAUAUCUUCAUGACAUCUGAGGAGUCACACUCCUCCUUUGGCUUUCAGAUAAAUAUUAAAAAAAUUCAAGGACAAUUUUGGUAAAAAUAUUCCAACAAUUUCAUUUCUCUCUAUAAAAGGAAGUAUCCCACUCACUUAAAAACACAUCUUUCCAAAAUGAAUAUAUCACUAGAGAGCUCAUCAUAUUUAGUGUGUUAGUAUUUAUUUAAUAUCCUUACUCCCACAUAGUUAGAGUGUAAAGUCGUUGUAAACACCUUAAAUAUCAAAGUAUAUCAUCACUAGAUAUACAUAUAAAAAAUACUCAUGUAAGCUUAUGAGAAGCUUUGUCAUUCAAAAGUGUAAGUCUAGUGAGGCUAAGAACACAUAUACCAACACAUAUUGUAAGACGAACCAAGUAAGGGAAAAUAUAACGAGGNNNNNNNNNNNNNNNNNNNUUUUUGUUUUGAAACUAACAAACUAUUUUAGAUUCUUGAAAAAAUUCCAAAAAAACUGUAUUGGACAUUAAAAUGCAAACGUACAAGUAAGUCCAACAAUCAUCAAAGCUUAUUAAAUUCUUUCAUAAUAAUUUACAUCUAAAAAAGAGCACAACCAACCUGGGGAUUUAAAAAACCUUCAAAGGAUAAAACUCACUAUAGCACUAAAAGACAAAUUGAAAAUCUGGCCAGCCCCAUGUGAUAUAAAAUUCAAUUGGAUAAAUCUUCAGAUAUUAUAAAGUAACAAGUUCCCAAGUAUAUCUUCAUGACAUAUGAGGAGUCACACUCCUCCUUUGGCUUUCAGAUAAAUAUUAAAAAAAUUCAAGGAUAGUUUUGGUAAAAAUAUUCCAACAAUUUCAUUACUCUCUAUAAAAGGAAGUAUCUCACUCACUUAAAAACACAUCUUUCCAAAAUGAAUAUACCACUAGAGAGCUCAUCAUAUUUAGUGUGUUAGUAUUUAUUUAAUAUCCUUACUCCCACAUAGUUAGAGUGUAAAGUCGUUGUAAACACCUUAAAUAUCAAAGUAUAUCAUCACUAGAUAUACAUAUAAAAAAUACUCAUGUAAGCUUAUGAGAAGCUUUGUCAUUCAAAAGUGUAAGUCUAGUGAGGCUAAGAACACAUAUACCAACACAUAUUGUAAGACGAACCAAGUAAGGGAAAAUAUCACGAGGUGUGAGGACUGGACUAACCAAGUUGGUGAAACAGGAGAAGUUCUUAAGUUUGGUUUGUGUUUAAUCCUUGCUUUAUCUUAUCUUCAUACUAUUAAUCACCUUCUAACACACACAUACUUAAUAUAUUAAAAACUCAUUCUAACUUUCCUUUUCCAUUAAACUCAUGAGAAACAUUAUCUAUUAUUACAAUAUUGUUAAAAUUUUAGAAGGUUACAAUCCAACCCCUCUUGUUGGGACAUUCCUUUUCCAAACAACUGGAAGGUACAUUAGGGGAUUCCGAUAUUUUGGACUUUUUUUUGCGUGCUUACACAUAGAAAAAUAUGAUUGUGUUUGUAAAUUCUAGAGACAAACUUCUUAUGAAGAAAAAUAAUAUGUUAGGGUCCAAGGGAAUUUUGGUUGGGUUGCAUGAAGGUCGUUGAGAAUGAAACUUUGGAGUUUGUAGCUCGUUCAUUAGUUCAAAGGCUCGGACAAGGGAAUUUUCAUAGGAUCGGACGGAGAUUGCUGCAGAUAAAAUCUUGAAGUGCUUUGGUUCUCAAAAGGUGGUUGGCUCAAGAUUGAGGAAACAUCUUGAAGGGUUUGUAGUUUAGUAUGUUAAUUACAAUAGAAGGAACGUUAAGAUUCAAAUAUGUGUUUGUUAGUAGUUGACUUUAAGUUUUCAGAUUAUUAAUGAUUAUAUGGUGUGUUAAAAGACACUUGUUAUUAUUUCAAAUUAGUGGAAGACCAAUAAAUUUUUAAUGGUUCACCAUUGGAGACUAGACUAAGUGCAAGCGAGGAUGUUGCUCAUAAUCUUUAUAAAUACUGGUGUACAAUUCUCUCUAUCAUUCUCUUCUAAUUUAUGUACAAUUUUCCUAUUCUAGCAUUGUAUAACUUUAUGGCUUUAUCACUUUCUAGAAUUACUCGUUGUUAGGUCUAUUGUCCAUAAUUUUGUAAUGUUUAAGCUUAUGUCUGUGUUAGAUCUUGUUUGCUAAACACUGUCUUUGGUUAUUAUAUUUGUACAAACAUGUAAUAUUAGAUUCUUAAUUCAAUUAGUAAAUAUUUAUUUAAACAUCUCGUUGCAAAUUUUAUUUUAUUAAGCACCUGACUUUUUUAUCGGUUCUACAUAAAACCUCCAAUGACAGCUCCAACAAAUUUAUUAAAUUUGUAGUUUAGUUCAAGUGAUUCACUAUUUUUAUAGGUAAAUUUUAUUGUUUGGACAAAGUAAUUGAAAUUUCUUUCUUCAAUGAACAAUUUAUUCAUUUUUAAAGUAAUUAAUUCAAAUUUUUUCUCAUUUUCAUUAAUUUUCUUACUCAAAUUUUAUUAUUUUUAUAUAUAUAUUAUUUUAUUUACCGUUUAUCGAAGCUAAUGUACUUGAAAGUUAUCCUUAGUUCUCAGUUUGGUUGAAUUCAUUCAAUGUUUUUUUUAAAUUGAAGAAAUUGAUUAAAAGUCAACCAUGUAUAAGAUGAAUCACAAAUUAGAAGAAUUGAAACAAUAUAUUAUAUAAGCUUGAUUCGAGUCACAAUUUUGUCUGAUUCAAGUCAUGAGUAAAUAGGAAAUCAGUAAUUUGGCGUUAAAUGACUUGAUUUGAUUCUAGGUUUUUCAUGACUUGAAUCAUAGGCAUCUUGACUUGAGUCAUAGUUAUGUUUAACUCAAAUCAUAAAUGUAUUCAAUCUUAACUUGAUUCAUACUUCCACCUAACUUGAAUCAGAAAUGUCAAAUCUUGAUUUUAUCAUCUCGAUUUUAGUCACUUUUUUAUUUUGGGGACCUGACUCGAAUCAUCUUGCUGAUUUUUUUACUACCUAUUUCGUACCUUAACUCUAGCACAAAUAAAAAUCAAAAAAAUUUCUCUCUGGUGUGAGCUUCAGAUUAAUUCAAUUUUGAAAAAAGAAACAUGCAUCUUUUAAAAAUAUUUUUUUGCGUUCGCUCACAAUCUUAAAAAACCAAAAAAAAAAGUUUCGUAAUCACACAAACUUUCUUUCAAAUCAACUUUGAUGAAAUACUUAUUAAUGCGAGUUAAUUUUUUGAGCGCAAACAAGUUGUGUGUGAGAAUCUUCCGGAAAGCUUCAUCUUCAACAUUUAACCAAAAAUCCAUUAUUGUGGUUGCUCAAAUUUAAAAGUGAGAGUGUCAGUCAUAGCUGGUGUUGAUACUCACUUUUUGUUUUGAAACUAACAAACUAUUUUAGAUUCUUGAAAAAAUUCCAAAAAAACUGUAUUGGACAUUAAAAUGCAAACGUACAAGUAAGUCCAUCAAUCAUCAAAGCUUAUAAAAUUCUUUCAUAAUAAUUUACAUCUAAAAAAGAGCACAACCAACCUGGGGAUUUAAAAAACCUUCAAAGGAUAAAACUCACUAUAGCACUAAAAGACAAAUUGAAAAUCUGGCCAGCCCCAUGUGAUAUAAAAUUCAAUUGGAUAAAUCUUCAGAUAUUAUAAAGUAACAAGUUCCCAAGUAUAUCUUCAUGACAUAUGAGGAGUCACACUCCUCCUUUGGCUUUCAGAUAAAUAUUAAAAAAAAUUCAAGGAUAGUUUUGGUAAAAAUAUUCCAACAAUUUCAUUACUCUCUAUAAAAGGAAGUAUCUCACUCACUUAAAAACACAUCUUUCCAAAAUGAAUAUACCACUAGAGAGCUCAUCAUAUUUAGUGUGUUAGUAUUUAUUUAAUAUCCUUACUCCCACAUAGUUAGAGUGUAAAGUCGUUGUAAACACCUUAAAUAUCAAAGUAUAUCAUCACUAGAUAUACAUAUAAAAAAUACUCAUGUAAGCUUAUGAGAAGCUUUGUCAUUCAAAAGUGUAAGUCUAGUGAGGCUAAGAACACAUAUACCAACACAUAUUGUAAGACGAACCAAGUAAGGGAAAAUAUCACGAGGUGUGAGGACUGGACUAACCAAGUUGGUGAAACAGGAGAAGUUCUUAAGUUUGGUUUGUGUUUAAUCCUUGCUUUAUCUUAUCUUCAUACUAUUAAUCACCUUCUAACACACACAUACUUAAUAUAUUAAAAACUCAUUCUAACUUUCCUUUUCCAUUAAACUCAUGAGAAACAUUAUCUAUUAUUACAAUAUUGUUAAAAUUUUAGAAGGUUACAAUCCAACCCCUCUUGUUGGGACAUUCCUUUUCCAAACAACUGGAAGGUACAUUAGGGGAUUUCGAUAUUUUGGACUUUUUUUUGCGUGCUUACACAUAGAAAAAUAUGAUUGUGUUUGUAAAUUCUAGAGACAAACUUCUUAUGAAGAAAAAUAAUAUGUUAGGGUCCAAGGGAAUUUUGGUUGGGUUGCAUGAAGGUCGUUGAGAAUGAAACUUUGGAGUUUGUAGCUCGUUCAUUAGUUCAAAGGCUCGGACAAGGGAAUUUUCAUAGGAUCGGACGGAGAUUGCUGCAGAUAAAAUCUUGAAGUGCUUUGGUUCUCAAAAGGUGGUUGGCUCAAGAUUGAGGAAACAUCUUGAAGGGUUUGUAGUUUAGUAUGUUAAUUACAAUAGAAGGAACGUUAAGAUUCAAAUAUGUGUUUGUUAGUAGUUGACUUUAAGUUUUCAGAUUAUUAAUGAUUAUAUGGUGUGUUAAAAGACACUUGUUAUUAUUUCAAAUUAGUGGAAGACCAAUAAAUUUUUAAUGGUUCACCAUUGGAGACUAGACUAAGUGCAAGCGAGGAUGUUGCUCAUAAUCUUUAUAAAUACUGGUGUACAAUUCUCUCUAUCAUUCUCUUCUAAUUUAUGUACAAUUUUCCUAUUCUAGCAUUGUAUAACUUUAUGGCUUUAUCACUUUCUAGAAUUACUCGUUGUUAGGUCUAUUGUCCAUAAUUUUGUAAUGUUUAAGCUUAUGUCUGUGUUAGAUCUUGUUUGCUAAACACUGUCUUUGGUUAUUAUAUUUGUACAAACAUGUAAUAUUAGAUUCUUAAUUCAAUUAGUAAAUAUUUAUUUAAACAUCUCGUUGCAAAUUUUAUUUUAUUAAGCACCUGACUUUUUUAUCGGUUCUACAUAAAACCUCCAAUGACAGCUCCAACAAAUUUAUUAAAUUUGUAGUUUAGUUCAAGUGAUUCAAUAUUUUUAUAGGUAAAUUUUAUUGUUUGGACAAAGUAAUUGAAAUUUCUUUCUUCAAUGAACAAUUUAUUCAUUUUUAAAGUAAUUAAUUCAAAUUUUUUCUCAUAUUUCAUUAAUUUUCUUACUCAAAUUUUAUUAUUUUUAUUUUUAUUUUAUUUGUUUUACCGUUUAUCGAAGCUAAUGUACUUGAAAGUUAUCCUUAGUUCUCAGUUUGGUUGAAUUCAUUCAAUGUUUUUUUUAAAUUGAAGAAAUUGAUUAAAAGUCAACCAUGUAUAAGAUGAAUCACAAAUUAGAAGAAUUGAAACAAUAUAUUAUAUAAGCUUGAUUCGAGUCACAAUUUUGUCUGAUUCAAGUCAUGAGUAAAUAGGAAAUCAGUAAUUUGGCGUUAAAUGACUUGAUUUGAUUCUAGGUUUUUCAUGACUUGAAUCAUAGGCAUCUUGACUUGAGUCAUAGUUAUGUUUAACUCAAAUCAUAAAUGUAUUCAAUCUUAACUUGAUUCAUACUUCCACCUAACUUGAAUCAGAAAUGUCAAAUCUUGAUUUUAUCAUCUCGAUUUUAGUCACUUUUUUAUUUUGGGGACCUGACUCGAAUCAUCUUGCUGAUUUUUUUACUACCUAUUUCGUACCUUAACUCUAGCACAAAUAAAAAUCAAAAAAAUUUCUCUCUGGUGUGAGCUUCAGAUUAAUUCAAUUUUGAAAAAAGAAACAUGCAUCUUUUAAAAAUAUUUUUUUGCGUUCGCUCACAAUCUUAAAAAACCAAAAAAAAAAGUUUCGUAAUCACACAAACUUUCUUUCAAAUCAACUUUGAUGAAAUACUUAUUAAUGCGAGUUAAUUUUUUGAGCGCAAACAAGUUGUGUGUGAGAAUCUUCCGGAAAGCUUCAUCUUCAACAUUUAACCAAAAAUCCAUUAUUGUGGUUGCUCAAAUUUAAAAGUGAGAGUGUCAGUCAUAGCUGGUGUUGAUACUCACUUUUUGUUUUGAAACUAACAAACUAUUUUAGAUUCUUGAAAAAAUUCCAAAAAAACUGUAUUGGACAUUAAAAUGCAAACGUACAAGUAAGUCCAUCAAUCAUCAAAGCUUAUAAAAUUCUUUCAUAAUAAUUUACAUCUAAAAAAGAGCACAACCAACCUGGGGAUUUAAAAAACCUUCAAAGGAUAAAACUCACUAUAGCACUAAAAGACAAAUUGAAAAUCUGGCCAGCCCCAUGUGAUAUAAAAUUCAAUUGGAUAAAUCUUCAGAUAUUAUAAAGUAACAAGUUCCCAAGUAUAUCUUCAUGACAUAUGAGGAGUCACACUCCUCCUUUGGCUUUCAGAUAAAUAUUAAAAAAAUUCAAGGAUAGUUUUGGUAAAAAUAUUCCAACAAUUUCAUUACUCUCUAUAAAAGGAAGUAUCUCACUCACUUAAAAACACAUCUUUCCAAAAUGAAUAUACCACUAGAGAGCUCAUCAUAUUUAGUGUGUUAGUAUUUAUUUAAUAUCCUUACUCCCACAUAGUUAGAGUGUAAAGUCGUUGUAAACACCUUAAAUAUCAAAGUAUAUCAUCACUAGAUAUACAUAUAAAAAAUACUCAUGUAAGCUUAUGAGAAGCUUUGUCAUUCAAAAGUGUAAGUCUAGUGAGGCUAAGAACACAUAUACCAACACAUAUUGUAAGACGAACCAAGUAAGGGAAAAUAUCACGAGGUGUGAGGACUGGACUAACCAAGUUGGUGAAACAGGAGAAGUUCUUAAGUUUGGUUUGUGUUUAAUCCUUGCUUUAUCUUAUCUUCAUACUAUUAAUCACCUUCUAACACACACAUACUUAAUAUAUUAAAAACUCAUUCUAACUUUCCUUUUCCAUUAAACUCAUGAGAAACAUUAUCUAUUAUUACAAUAUUGUUAAAAUUUUAGAAGGUUACAAUCCAACCCCUCUUGUUGGGACAUUCCUUUUCCAAACAACUGGAAGGUACAUUAGGGGAUUCCGAUAUUUUGGACUUUUUUUUGCGUGCUUACACAUAGAAAAAUAUGAUUGUGUUUGUAAAUUCUAGAGACAAACUUCUUAUGAAGAAAAAUAAUAUGUUAGGGUCCAAGGGAAUUUUGGUUGGGUUGCAUGAAGGUCGUUGAGAAUGAAACUUUGGAGUUUGUAGCUCGUUCAUUAGUUCAAAGGCUCGGACAAGGGAAUUUUCAUAGGAUCGGACGGAGAUUGCUGCAGAUAAAAUCUUGAAGUGCUUUGGUUCUCAAAAGGUGGUUGGCUCAAGAUUGAGGAAACAUCUUGAAGGGUUUGUAGUUUAGUAUGUUAAUUACAAUAGAAGGAACGUUAAGAUUCAAAUAUGUGUUUGUUAGUAGUUGACUUUAAGUUUUCAGAUUAUUAAUGAUUAUAUGGUGUGUUAAAAGACACUUGUUAUUAUUUCAAAUUAGUGGAAGACCAAUAAAUUUUUAAUGGUUCACCAUUGGAGACUAGACUAAGUGCAAGCGAGGAUGUUGCUCAUAAUCUUUAUAAAUACUGGUGUACAAUUCUCUCUAUCAUUCUCUUCUAAUUUAUGUACAAUUUUCCUAUUCUAGCAUUGUAUAACUUUAUGGCUUUAUCACUUUCUAGAAUUACUCGUUGUUAGGUCUAUUGUCCAUAAUUUUGUAAUGUUUAAGCUUAUGUCUGUGUUAGAUCUUGUUUGCUAAACACUGUCUUUGGUUAUUAUAUUUGUACAAACAUGUAAUAUUAGAUUCUUAAUUCAAUUAGUAAAUAUUUAUUUAAACAUCUCGUUGCAAAUUUUAUUUUAUUAAGCACCUGACUUUUUUAUCGGUUCUACAUAAAACCUCCAAUGACAGCUCCAACAAAUUUAUUAAAUUUGUAGUUUAGUUCAAGUGAUUCAAUAUUUUUAUAGGUAAAUUUUAUUGUUUGGACAAAGUAAUUGAAAUUUCUUUCUUCAAUGAACAAUUUAUUCAUUUUUAAAGUAAUUAAUUCAAAUUUUUUCUCAUAUUUCAUUAAUUUUCUUACUCAAAUUUUAUUAUUUUUAUUUUUAUUUUAUUUGUUUUACCGUUUAUCGAAGCUAAUGUACUUGAAAGUUAUCCUUAGUUCUCAGUUUGGUUGAAUCCAUUCCAUGUUUUUUUUAAAUUGAAGAAAUUGAUUAAAAGUCAACCAUGUAUAAGAUGAAUCAGAAAUUAGAAGAAUUGAAACAAUAUAUUAUAUAAGCUUGAUUCGAGUCACAAUUUUGUCUGACUCAAGUCGUGAGUAAAUAGGAAAUCAGUAAUUUGGCGUUAAAUGACUUGAUUUGAUUUAAGGUUUUUCAUGACUUGAAUCAAAGGCAUCUUGACUUGAGUCAUAGUUAUGUUUAACUCAAAUCAUAAAUGUAUUCAAUCUUGACUUGAUUCAUACUUCCACCUAACUUGAAUCAGAAAUGUCAAAUCUUGAUUUUAUCAUCUCGAUUUUAGUCACUUUUUUAUUUUGGGGACCUGACUCGAAUCAUCUUGCUUAUUUUUUUACUAACUAUUUCGUACCUUAACUCUAGCACAAAUAAAAAUUAAAAAAAAUUCUCCCUGGUGUGAGCUUCAGAUUAAUUCAAUUUUGAAAAAAGAAACAUGCAUCUUUUAAAAAUAUUUUUUUGCGUUCGCUCACAAUCUUAAAAAACCAAAAAAAAAAGAUUUCGUAAUCAUACAAACUUUCUUUCAAAUCAACUUUGAAGAAAUACUUAUUAAUCGAGUUAAUUUUUUAAGCGCAAACAAGUUGUGUGUGAGAAUCUUCCGGAAAGCUUCAUCUUCAACAUUUAACCAAAAAUCCAUUAUUGUGGUUGAUCAAAUUUAAAAGUGAGAGUUUCAGUCAUAGCUGGUGUUGAUACAUACUCAAUUUUUUUUUUAAACUAACAAACUAUUUUAGAUUCUUGAAAAAAUUCCAAAAAACUCUAUUGGACAUUAAAAUGAAAACGUACAAGUAAGUCCAUCAAUCAUCAAAGCUUAUAAAAUUCUUUCAUAACAAUUUACAUCUAAAAAAGAGCACAACCAACAUGGGGAUUUAAAAAACCUUCCAAGGAUAAAACUCACUACAACACUAAAAGACAAAUUGAAAAUCUGGCCAGCCCCAUGUGAUAUAAAAUACAAUUGGAUCAAUCUUCAAAUAUUAUAAAGCAACAAGUUCCCAAGUAUAUCUUCAUGACAUCGGAGGAGUCACACUCCUCCUUUGGCUUUCAGAUAAAUAUUAAAAAAAUUCAAGGACAGUUUUGGUAAAAAUAUUUCAACAAUUUCAUUUCUCUCUAUAAAAGGAAGUAUCCCUCUCACUUAAAAACACAUCUUUCCAAAAUGAAUAUAUCACUAGAGAGCUCAUCAUAUUUAGUGUGUUUGUAUUUAUUUAAUAUCCUUACUCCCACAUAGUUAGAGUGUAAAGUUGUUGUAAACACCUUAAAUAUCAAAGUAUAUCAUCACUAGAUAUACAUAUAAAAAAUACUCAUGUAAGCUUAUGAGAAGCUUUGUCAUUCAAAAGUGUAAGUCUAGUGAGGCUAAAAACACAUAUACCAACACAUAUUGUAAGACGAACCAAGUAAGGGAAAAUAUAACGAGGAGUGAGGACUGGACUAACCAAAUUGGUGAACCAAGAGAAGUUCUUGAGUUUGAUUUGUUUUUAAUCCUUGCUUUAUCGUAUCUUCGUACUAUUAAUCACCUUCUAACACACACAUACUUAAUAUAUUAAAAACUCAUUCAAACUUUCCUUUUCCAUUAAACUCAUGAGAAACAUUAUCUAUUAUUACAAUACUGUUAAAAUUUUAGAAGGUUACAAUCCAACCUCUCUUGUUGGGACAUUCCUUUUUCCAACAACUGGAAGGUACAUUAGAGGAUUCCGAUAUUUUUGACUUUUUUUUUGUGUGCUUACACAUAGAAAAAUAUGAUUGUGUUUGUGAAUUCUAGAGACAAACUUCUUGUGAAGAAAAAUAAUAUGUUAGGGUCCAAGGGAAUUUUGGUUGGGUUGCAUGAAGGUCGUUGAGAAUGAAACUUUGGAGUUUCUAGCUCCUUCAUUAGUUCAAAGUCUCGGACAAGGGAAUUUUCAUAGGAUUGCAUGGAAAUCGCUGCAGAUAAAUUCUUUAAGUGUUUUGGUUCUCAAAAGGUGGUUCGCUCAAGAUUGAGGAAACAUCUUGAAGGAUUUGUAGUUUAGUAUGUUAAUUACAAUAGAAGGAACGUUAAGAUUCAAAUAUGUAUUUGUUAGUAGUUGACUUUAAGUUUUCAGUUUAUUAAUGAUUAUAUGGUGUGUUAAAAGACACUUGUAAUUAUUUCAAAUUAGUGGAAGACCAAUAAAUUUUUAAUGGUUCACCAUUGGAUACUAGACUAAGUGCAAGCGAGGAUGCUGCUCACAAUCUUUAUAAAUACUGGUGUACAAUUCUCUCUAUCAUUCUCUUCUAAUUUAUGUACAAUUUUCAUAUUCUAGCAUUGUAUAACUUUAUGGCUUUAUCACUUUCUAGAAUUAUACGUUGUUUGGUCUAUUGUUCAUAAUUUUGUAAUGUUUAAGCUUAUGUCUGUGUUAAAUCUUGUUUGCUAAACACUGUCUUUGUCUUUGGCGAUUAUAUUUGUACAAACAUGUAAUAUUAGAUUCUUUAUUCAAUUAGUAAAUAUUUAUUUAAACAUCUCGUUGCAAAUUUUAUUUUAUUAAGCACCUGACUUUUUUAUCGGUUCUACAUAAAACCUCCAAUGACAGCUCCAACAAAUUUAUUAAAUUUGUAGUUUAGUUCAAGUGAUUCACUAUUUUUAUAGGUAAAUUUUAUUGUUUGGACAAAGUAAUUGAAAUUUCUUUCUUCAAUGAACAAUUUAUUCAUUUUUAAAGUAAUUAAUUCAAAUUUUUUCUCAUUUUCAUUAAUUUUCUUACUCAAAUUUUAUUAUUUUUAUAUAUAUAUUAUUUUAUUUACCGUUUAUCGAAGCUAAUGUACUUGAAAGUUAUCCUUAGUUCUCAGUUUGGUUGAAUUCAUUCAAUGUUUUUUUUAAAUUGAAGAAAUUGAUUAAAAGUCAACCAUGUAUAAGAUGAAUCACAAAUUAGAAGAAUUGAAACAAUAUAUUAUAUAAGCUUGAUUCGAGUCACAAUUUUGUCUGANCUCCAAUGACAGCUCCAACAAAUUUAUUAAAUUUGUAGUUUAGUUCAAGUGAUUCACUAUUUUUAUAGGUAAAUUUUAUUGUUUGGACAAAGUAAUUGAAAUUUCUUUCUUCAAUGAACAAUUUAUUCAUUUUUAAAGUAAUUAAUUCAAAUUUUUUCUCAUUUUCAUUAAUUUUCUUACUCAAAUUUUAUUAUAUAUAUAUAUAUAUUAUUUUAUUUACCGUUUAUCGAAGCUAAUGUACUUGAAAGUUAUCCUUAGUUCUCAGUUUGGUUGAAUUCAUUCAAUGUUUUUUUUAAAUUGAAGAAAUUGAUUAAAAGUUAACCAUGUAUAAGAUGAAUCACAAAUUAGAAGAAUUGAAAAAAUAUAUUAUAUAAGCUUGAUUCGAGUCACAAUUUUAUCUGACUCAAGUCAUGAGUAAAUAGGAAAUCAGUAAUUUGGCGUUAAAUGACUUGAUUUGAUUCAAGGUUUUUCAUGACUUGAAUCAUAGGCAUCUUGACUUGAGUCAUAGUUAUGUUUAACUCAAAUCAUAAAUGUAUUCAAUCUUGACUUGAUUCAUACUUCCACCUAACUUGAAUCAGAAAUGUCAAAUCUUGAUUUUAUCAUUUCGAUUUUAGUAACUUUUUUAUUUUGGGGACCUGACUCGAAUCAUCUUGCUGAUUUUUUUACUACCUAUUUUGUACCUUAACUCUAACACAAAUAAAAAUCAAAAAAAAUUCUCUCUGGUGUGAGCUUUAGAUUAAUUCAAUUUUGAAAACAAAAACAUGCAUCUUUUAAAAAUAUUUUUUUGCGUUCGCUCACAAUCUUAAAAAACCUAAAAAAAAAAGUUUCGUAAUCACAGAAACUUUCUUUCAAAUCAACUUUGAAGAAAUACUUAUUAAUCGAGUUAAUUUUUUGAGCGCAAACAAGUUGUGUGUGAGAAUCAUUCGGAAAGCUUCAUCUUCAACAUUUAACCAAAAAUCCAUUAUUGUGGUUGCUCAAAUUUAAAAGUGAGAGUUUCAGUCAUAGCUGGUGUUGAAACAUACUCAAUUUUUGUUUUGAAACUAACAAACUAUUUUAGAUUCUUGAAAAAAUUCCUAAAAACUCUAUUGGACAUUAAAACGCAAACGUACAAGUAAGUUCAUUAAUCAUCAAAGCUUAGAAAAUUCUUUCAUAAUAAUUUACAUCUAAAAAAGAGCACAACCAACUUGGGGAUUUAAAAGACCUUCCGAGGACAAAACUCACUACAACACUAAAAGACAAAUAGAAAAUCUUGCCAGCCCCAUGUGAUAUAAAAUACAAUAGGAACAAUCUUCAGAUAUUAUACAGCAACAAGUUCCCAAGUAUAUCCUCAUGACAUCUGAGGAGUCACACUCUUCCUUUGACUUUUUCAUAAAUAUUAACAAUUGUCAAGGACAGUUUUGGUAAAAAUAUUUCAACGAUUUCAUUUCGUUUUAUAAAAGGAAGCAUCCCAGUUACUGUAAAACACAUCUUUCCAAAAUGAAUAUAUCACUAGAGAGCUCAUCAUAUUUAGUGUGUUAGUAUUUAUUUCAUAUCCUUACACCCACAUAAUUAGAAUGUAAAGUUGUUGUAAACACCUUAAAUAUCAAAGUAUAUCAUCACUAGAUAUACAUAUAAAAAAUACUCCUGUAUGCUUAUGAGAAGCUUUGUCAUUCAAAAGUGUAAGUCUAGUGAGGCUAAGAAUACAUAGACCAACACAUAUUGUAAGAAGAACCAAGUAAGGGAAAAUAUCACGAGGUGUGAGGACUGGACUAACCAAGUUGGUGAACCAGGAGAAGUUCUUGAGUUUGAUUUAUUUUUAAUCCUUGCUUUAUCUUACCUUCAUACUAUUAAUCACCUCCUAACACACACAUACUUAGUAUAUUAAAAACUCAUUCUAACUUUCCUUUUCCAUGAAAUUCAUGAGAAACUUUAUAUAUUAUUAUAACAUUAUUAAAAUUUUAGAAGGUUACAAUCCAACCCCUCUUGUUGGGACAUUCCUUUUUCAAACAACUGAAAGGUACAUUAGGGGAUUAUGAUAUUUUGGACUUUUUGUGUGUGCUUACACAUAGAAGAAUUUGAUUGUGUUUGUGAAUUCUAGAGACAAAUUUUUUGUGAAGAAAAAGAAUAUGUUAGUCUCCAAGGGAAUUUUGGUUGGGUUGCAUAAAGGUCGUUGAGAAUGAAACAUUGGAGUUUCUAGCUCCUUCAUUAGUUCAAACGGCUCGGGCAAGGGAAUUUUCGUAGGAUCGCGUGGAGAUUGCUGCAAAUAAAAUCUUGAAGUGCUUUGGUUCUCAAAAGGUGGUUGGCUCAAGAUCGAGGAAACAUCAUGAAGGAUUUGUAGUUUAGUGUGUUACUUACAAUAGAAGGAACAUUAAGAUUCACAUAUGUAAUUGAAUUUUCUUUCUUCAAUGAACAAUUUAUUUCAUUUUUAAAUUAAUUAAUUAAAUUUUUUUCUCAUAUUUCAUUAAUUUUCUUACUCAAAUUUUAUUAUUUUUAUCUAUUUUAUUUUAUUUACCAUUUAUCAAAGCUAAUGUACCUCAAAAUUGAUUUCUUGAACGCAAACAAGUUGUGUGUGACAAUCUUUCAAAAAGCUUCAUCUUUAACCUUUAGUCAAACACUAAUUAUUGUGGUUGUUCAAGUCCAAUUGAAUUAUCCCAAGUUCAAUAAGGUCAAACAAAAUUUGACAAAAAAUUUAAGUAUUUUUAGAAGUCAGAAACUAUUUUUAAUCAAUUAAAAAUACAUAAAAAUAAUCUAAUUGAAUUAAAAUCUCAAAUAAAUUAAUAAAUUGAUGAGAAUAUUUUUCAUAGAUCUAUCAUCAUUCAAAUAGGUUGGAAAAAUAUUUUUUAUUUUUUGGAUAUCAAAAACUAUUUAAAAUGAAUUAAAAAUAAGCAGACAAGAGAAAAUUCCUAAAAAAUAUCAAAUGAUAAAAUAAAAAAUAUUAAAAAUCAUUUUUAGAAACUAGAAAUUAAAAGGAGAAAAAUGCAAUUGGUCUCAUAUUUUUUGGACCAAUAAUGGAGUUAUGAAUUUUUAAAAAGAAAUGGAAUUAAAAGAAAUAAAAGAAAUUAAAAUCAGAAAUUAAAAUAAUUGGAAAAAAACUUGGAGCGUUUGAUCUGAGCUCAUUAAUUGAUCUGGCAAAUCAUGAGGCUCACACACGCGCGCCUACCAUAUUCCUUGGUCAAUGCAUCACAUGUAGCAUUAUUAUAAGUCAUAACAUGGAACAGGCGAGAUUAAAUCUGGAAAAUGAAAUGGAAGGCUCAGAUCUAAUCUGGAGAAGGGACGGUGACCUGCGCCACCGUCUUCUCCGGCCAACUCCGGCGAGGCUCAAAAUUUGCAGAGGAAAAAAUGUUAACUAAAUGCUACGAUCCAGAUACCAAUCGAAAGCCGGGGUGAUGUACAUCACCCCUGUACCAACCAAAUCCACUCUAGGUUUCUACAUUAAGAGAAAUCAGAGAUGGAAAAUCUGUGGUGUUCAAAUGAACUUAAUGGGUUUUGAAAAUUCGAAGCUCAAGAAUGUUGCCUCUAUGCAGAGGACUUCAGAUCACACAACAACAACAACAAGAAAUAACCAGUAUAUGAGUAGAUUCGAAGAAAUUAAAAUGUGAGGUAAACCUCUGAUUUGCAGAGCUUGAAGUCACAAUUCCUUGCUAUGGGUGCUUGCAGUUUGUUCUUUAGAUCAAAGAGAAGAAGGCUAAGGAACUUUAGAUCUGAGAAAACAAUUGAGGUAAUUGAAUUCUAGAUCUGAAAAUUGAGAGAAAAAUUAGUGAGUUCCUUUGGUGUGAGGGUGAGGGUUUAAUUGCACAGCAUUUAGGGUGCCUUCAGGUUGGUAAAAUGGAGAGCAUUGGCAUUGUAUUUAUAGGAGAAGCAAGGCUGAAGUGCAUGAACAUUCCCUUGCAUGAAUGGAAAGGGCCUCCAUGCAUGGGCCUGUACAGGCGCAUGGAGGGCCCAAUUCCACUUGGAUUUGGUAGCUGAGCAAUGAUAGAAGAAAACUGGACGUGCAAAUUGUGCAUAAACACCUCAUGCAAUGCAAAUUCUAUGGAUUUCCAAAAUUAUACCAUAAUGUUCAUGUCUUCGAAAAUGGCUCUUCCAAACUUGAAACACCACCUCAUGAGUAAUGGUUGGAAAGCUUUUUGAAUAAGGAUAAUUUGUUAUGUUGAUGAAAAAUUCAUUUGAGCCUUGGAAAUUGAUGAAAAGUGGUCAUGAAGUGUAGGGUCCAAAACAUGUACAUGUGAGAUCUUCAAAAUUGGCCAAAGUUCAAGCCCUUCUGUCUCAAUGAUGAAAGCUCCAAAUGACAAAAUGAUCAACAUAAAAGUUGUAUAUCUUUUCAAUAAAAUCAAUUUGGACUUAAAUUUUGCAUCAUUUGGAUUUUAGAUGAAGAAGUUAUGGGUACUUGAAGUUUGACUUUUUCACAUUUCAAUGCAUUUGGUCCAAAGUGACCUAUAAUGUUUUGCAUUAUCACAUGUAUUUCUUUUAGGAUUUUGAAAUUUUUCUCAACAUAACAUUUUAAUUAUACAUCUUAAUCUUUCCAAUUCAUUUGAUCCCACCUAAAAAUCAUGAAAAAUGAAUGAGUUAUGUUCUUGGGAAGUUGACCAAAAAUUAGGGUUUCAGUCAAAAUGACCUAUAAUGUUUUGGAAUGGAUGAUGACCCUCAAAGAUUCAAAUCAAUUUUUUAUGAACAUGAAAGUUGUUAAUAUGGUUCUUAGGAACAUAUUUUCUAUUGGGGUCAUCUCCAUUUGACAAACACAUAAAAUGUUAGGUCUCAGUGUAUUUCAAAAUAGUUAGAUGAAUUGACUGAUCAACUUCUCAAGUCCAAACCUCAUAUCUUGGUGAAUUGAUGAUUGAGGAUACUCAAAUAAGUUCAAAUAUGCAUGAAAGGAUGAAUGAAAUAACUUCUCUUCAUUGCAUUUGAUCAUGGGUUGGGGUUGCUUCAUGAGUAAGGCACAGUUGAUGAACAGAUGAAUUAGGGUUUCCUUGGGAAACAAACCUCAAACCCUUUGAUUAGAUUUUGAUCAAAAUGAUGAAUUGAGACACUUGGGAGGCAUAUUUGAUGUAUGAGAGCUUUGGGAACCAUUGCCAUGCUUUCUUUCAUCUCUCCUUGGCCAUAUAAAUGCACAUAGGAUCUCCUAGAAGCUUUGGACCUUGUGACUGCUCAAGCUACACACCAAAGAUGUUAGUGACGUAUUUUUGUGCUUUUGGUUAGUGAAUAAAAAUAAGAAAAGCAAUAAUAUACAAUUCAAGCAUGCUUGGUAAUCUCCAACUAACUCACAAGGGAUCCUACCCAAAGGUAAAGAGCCAAUAUGCUUAUGAUCCUUGAGGCAAGAUGCAAAUGCAAUGUUAUGAUGCCAUGAGGGAUCUUAGGGUCAAAAUUGGGGUCUUAUAGAUGCCCCUAUUUAAGGUCAUUCUAGUCGGAGAGGUGAAGGUUAAAAUCUUCGUCUCGACGAGGUAGAAUGGGCUUAAAUAAUAACAAAGAUACGAAUUUUGGUCCCUAAGAGACCUCAUGAUGCAAAUGCGUGUAUGCAAAAAGUAAUAAUCUAUGGAGAUAUGUGUCCACAAAGAGAAAAGAAAUCUGGAGAAACUGACCAUCCAUAUGAGUAAUACACUCAAUGGGACAGAGACUCUGGGGAUUCUUAUGGGGAUACGAAAGGGCAUAAAAUGCGUGAGCAGGUAACGACUAAAGAUUUGCUGAGACACGAGAGGAAUUCCAUGAAAAUAAAUCAAUGGAAAGACUCGAGCUGACUCAGAAAUGCAUGUAUUGGGGAAUAUGCUAAUACAGCAAAAACUAUCCACAAAGGAUACUUCGGAUAAAAAUCCGGACUCAGAUGGGGAACAUCCACUAAGGGACUUCACUGGGAAAUGUCCAAACAUGACUCAUAUGAGGAAAUAACAGGAUGAGGUAUUACUGGCUACUGGGUAAUAAGCUCAAGGAGACAUGUGAUCAAAACACCGGUAUAAGGGUGAGAGAACAAUAUGCUCGGGGAGAAUGAAUAUCUAAGACCGGUAUGAGGGUGAUAGAUAUCAAACGUCCAAAAUCAUCUGAGGAAAGACCUAAAAAGGUAUAUUUUGACUCAGGAAAUCUGACUCCACAAGGGACAAAAGUCAUAAUAGGGAGCAGAAGGGAAGGAACACCGGUGAUACCGGUUACUGGGCAUAUAAUAGGUGACCGACCAAGGCGUGAAUUGGGGAAUAUUUCCAAGACACUCAUCAUCCAAAAGGAGGGCUAAAAAGCAAACUCAAUUUACAGGAUGGACAUUCGACUCCGCAGAAAGGGGAUACGAAUCUUACUCGACUGGGGAAGAACAAAAGACUCCAACUGAAGAGCGCAUGAGUUAUAUUAUCUAUUACCGUCAGAACGUAGAUAACAUACUCCCAUGGAAGAUUAUCCACAACCAAUUACUGGGUUAAUAAAGGAUAAAUCAACCGAAAGGAAAGGACAUCAGGAUACUAAAUACUAGGUAUAAAAUGAUGACCCAUCAAAGGGAGAAACGAUCAUUACCAGCCAAAGGGUGGAUGAAAGAUGCCUCGCUGGGGAUACAUUGACAAAGGCAAUGAUCCGGGAGAUAUAUCGCCGUUUACUGGGAGAUAUACUAGAAAGUGAAGGAAUAUCAAUACCGAAUAUUGGAUAAAGAUAACCGACGAAGAGGGGAUUACAUCUACCGAAUACUGGAUAGAAAACCACAGAAGAGUAACCUCCAUCGGUUAGGAUGAACAAAAAUAAGGUUAACUCUGCAAGGGGAUAAAAUGGGGUUUACAACUACCGGUAUGAGGGUAGAAGACCACGGAAAUAGGACUUACAACUACCGGUUACUGGGUAGAAGGCCACAGACUCCACAAAAAUAAGGUUAAUUUAUGUCCCUCGUAGUUUAACGUGGUGUGCUUGUUUAAUUUUUUUUGACUACUUUUUGUUUGUAUUUUAAUCGGUCUGAUCCUUUUUACUAGUCACUUUUUUUUUUCAAAAUUUGAUCAAAACCUGUAUCUUUUUGAGAAGUUUAUUCCGCGUCGAUUAUUUUAGUGCAUUCAAUUUAAUUUUUCAGGUAAUUUUGCGUUCGACUUUUAUUCUUUUUUUAUCCGUCCAUUUUUGUUUCUUUGUAAAAAAUAUUUAUAACAACUAAUUAGAAUUUUCUACAUUUUUAGUUUCGAUUUAAUUUUGUUUAUUUAACAUGGUUUGAUUUUGGUUAAAUUAAGUUAUUAAUUUUUUGCAAAUAACAAACUCAUUAUAAAAGCAUUGUUUUGGUUUUGUCUAAAAAAUAUAUAAUCUAAAGGAUGUGGCUAUGUGUUUUUUUAUAGGCUGAUAUCACCAAAGAGGUGAUGGCACGCGACCCCUCCCUUAGAUAUGAGGAUGCUUCAUUUUUGAGAUUUUAGAAGAAAAAACAGGAAUUUGCUUCCAAAUCUCUCUCUCUCUCUCUCUAAUCUGAAAGAGGAGUAUAAUUUGAAACUCACACACAAUCUCAUCAUAAACUCUUUAUAAAAUAUCUCAUUUUUUUAGAAAGAAAAGUCUCUCUCUCUCUCUCAUCAUAGUGUUUCUUUAUCUCCCUUUCUCUAUUUGCAGCAAAAAUAAAACAAAUCAUUAAAACAUGUCUUGAAAAAUACACUUCUCUCUCAUAAACAUCAAAACACUCACUAAAAACCUUCAUGUAAACCUCUAUUUAUCACCUUCAUAACUUCUUGCAACUUAUACUCCCCCUCACUAAACCAAAAUAACUUCAUACUCCUGCCACGAGGUCCAUCGUGCAAAACACUUUCCGACACCCCUUAACACACAAAAAACUUUUCCCUUCUUCCUCUUCCUUCCCGCAUUUAUCGCCAUCCAUAUUCAUUCACCUUUAACACCAUGAACCUUCAUGCAACAGCCACCCUUCAUUUUCCAUCUAUCGAACACCCUUCGCCUCCCUCCUCUCCGAGUAACGUAUCGAUCUUCAUCCCCCUGCACAAACAACAACCAAACCCCCAUCACUGCAAUACGCUAUAAAAAAACCGUUAAUCCACCAUUGACAAAACCACCACGAACCACCAUUAACCCUGUCGCCAAAGGUUGUUACGUUUUUCCAUUUAUUUUUAAUCAUGUGUGUUUGUUUUCUUUGUGUGUGAUAUUCUUUUGUUUUAAAAAUGGAAUGGAGAAGAUCUAUUUGUUUUGAUUAUGGUGUUUUAAAAGCUAGUUUUUGUUUUUGUCCAAAAGAUACAAAAAUUUGGUUAUAAAGAAAAAAGAGAAGAGAGUAGCGGGAGAAAACUGUGCGAGAGAGAGGGGGAGUUUUCUUUCUUAAUAAUAUUUUGUGUAAGUGUUGUUAAUUUUUCCUGUGAUCUGCGUUUGGACAAGGAAGAAGAUUUUUUUUUUCAAAAAGAAUUAUGUCUUGUUGCUGUUAUACUCUGAACAAAGAAGAAGAGGGAAUGACUUUGUUUUGACUUUUUCCUCCCCCCAAUAUUCCAUGUGUCAAUGUCUAAGUGGGGGGAGAUUUGUUUGGAAGAAAAAACUUUCUCUUUUAAUCAGAACCAAAAUACCCUUUUUUUCUUUCUUUCUUUCUUGUGAUUUUCAUUUUUUAUGUUUUAUUAUUAUUAUUAUUAUUAUAAUAAUUAUUAUUAUUAUUAUUAUUAUUAUUAUUAUUAUUAUUAUUAUUAUAUAACUAUUAUUUUUUAGUUAUUACUCUUAUUUUGAUUGUUUUUUUACUAUCCUUGAUUUAUCGUUCAUUAUUAUUCAACUAGUUAUUAUUGUUAAUCUUUAUUGAUAAUUAUUACUAUUGUUGUUAUUAUUUUUAAUUUUUUUUGUAAUUUAAUUAUUAUUAUUAUUGACUAUUAUUACUAAACAAUUAUUACUAAAAAACAUAAAUUAUUGUUUAUUUUUACUAUUAUUAUUAUUAUUAUUAUUAUUAUUAUUAUUAUUAUUAUUAUUAUUAUUUGUUCUUGAUUAUUAUUAUUAUUAAUCAUUAUUGUUCUUGAGUAAUAUUAUUAAUUAUUAUUGUGUUUAUUACUAAUUAUUGUUGUUUUUAUUGAUUAUUUUUGUUCAUUUAGAAUUAUUAUUGUUAUUAAUGAUAAAUAUUUUUAUUAUUAUUAUUUAUUUUAUCAUUAUUGCUAUUAUUACAAUUAUUAUUAUUGUCAUUUUAUUAUUUAUUUAAUUAAUUAUCUUAUUUUAAAAAAUUAACACAAAUAAAAAAAAUCAAUUUAAUCUACCGUCGGUUUUGCACAGAUGCAUAUCAAUUUUGAAGGUAAAAAUUCAAUUUAACUUCAGAAAUUGCUUACACGCAGAGUUUUAUUGACCGACCUCAGAUAGGAUGAUUCCUACAUGAAUCGCUUUACGAUUGCUUAACAUAGCGCUAAAUUCGUUUAGUUUUUUUUCUUCUUUUGUCGCUAAAUUUCUUUUAAUUUAAUUUUUUAUUUUUACUUCGAGUCCCUUGGCUUUCUCUAGGGCCUUCUUACAACGAGAUUCUUUUAUUUUUGCAAAUGUCUUUCAAAACUUGUAUUGUUUAAAUUAUUGUGUUGUAUCCCGAUUCGAUAAACUGUACGCCCAUUCCCGAAAAUAUGUAAUAAAUUGUUAACAAAUGAUUAAAAUCAAUCAUUUUAGAAGAAAAAAAAACAAAAACAACAAACACGGGAUCCAACGUCGAGUUUUUUCCCCAAAUCAAAUUUAAAUCGAAUACAAAGUCGAGUAUAUCCCCCGCCACAUCCAAAUUAUUUUCAUAAGUCAACUUCAAACACUUGAUCCAUCAUCAAGUCGUCCCCCUGUUUUUAGAAGCUUUUAUAAUAAAAAUGGAAGAACUUAUUAGGUUUAGACUUUCUCUGUUUUGAAUGUUAUGAUAUUGUUGUAGAGUUCCAUGUUCAAACAUUCAAAUUUCAUAUUAAAAUACAAUAAUUACUAGAAUUAGGUCAUUUCUCUUAUAGACGGAAAAUAUUCCUUGGGUAUCGACCUUCUCUUUCCCGAUUAUUUAGACACUGCAGUAGAGCUCCCUGUCUGAAUAAUUGUCUUCCAUUAAUGAACUUUGACCUAAUUUUGACACAUUUUUAUAACAAACUUUUGGAUGAAAAUAGAGUGAUUAGGCUUUAGCCUCUUCCUUUUCGGGCAUCUGAGUACUGCAGUAGAGCUUCCUGCAUGGAUGGAUAUAUCCACUUAAAAUCAACUCAAACCAAUCAAACUUGAUUUCUGCCCUUGUGCGACCCCGAAAACAUUUUAAGAAAAGAGUAUGCAAUAUCCAUUUUGAUGCGAAAUAAACAAAGACUUCAACCUCCAAGAGCGAGUAGCAAGUAAAGGUUUAAUCGCUCAAAUGUGAUCCAAGUAUCACACUCUUUAAAAGUAAUCCAUCAAGUAGUUCUCUUUGAGAAGGACUAUGUAUGCAUUGAGUUCUUCAUACCACCUAAAGAUACGUAGGAGCAGGAUUGAAAAAUCUUGCCAAACACAUUAAUGUUAAAAAACCCUAAGUCUUUUCUUUCUUUCUUUCUCUUUUCUCACUCGAUAAGUAGAAUAUCACAAACGAUAUCACGCUAACACUCUUGCACAAAACUAACUAAAUGGGUACCAUUAACUACGAUGAAUGUGAUGGGUGUUAAUACCUUCCCCUUGCAUAACUGACUCCCGAACCCGAUUCCGUUGCGACGACCAUUUCUUUUUGUUUUUCAUGAGUUUUAUCGAUAUUUCCCCUUUCCCUCUUUGGGAAUAAAUAAAGUUAGAUGGCGACUCUGUUUUGUUUAUAUUUCGAGUGUUCAUUACGCUCGAGUAUUUUAUGCAUCGUGACAGCUGGGGAAAUUUUUCUUCUAAGCGAGUUCACCCUAGGUUAGUUUGUUUUUUGUUGGAGUGUUUACUUUUAUUUGCUUGUGUGCUUCUUAUUUGGUUUACCUAUAUCUGCCUUUAAUCAUCUGUAUUUCCAAUUGUUGCAUCAUUGAUCAUAUGGUGACAUUAGAACUUUCUGGAUUAUUAUCAUUUGUGUGAGGAAAAUCUCUAUACCUGAGCUAUGAGAAAAAAUUAAGUUAGGAUGGUGGUUGGGUAGUAUUGACCUGUGAGACAUCAAACUCGUUAGGAUGAUGCGAGAAUCUCACUCAGAUGAGAUCCCUCGAAAGUAUUAUUGUCUUACGAUUAGUCGUUCUGACGUUGAUAUUUUCGACCUCGACCUAUGAUUCUUAGGACCUUUGUAGAAACCCAAACCUAUGGCUUUUAGAACUGAUAGUUGUGUAGUGUUGACCUACGAGACUUAGGACUCGUCGGGUUAAUACAAAAGCCUCACUCAGAAUAUAUCAUUUUGAGGAUAUUAUUGUCUUACGAUUAGUCGUUCUGGCGAUAAUAUCUUUAAAUGGGAUCCAUGACUCUAGGAAUUAUGUUUAGAACCGUGGAGACGAUGGUUAUGUAGUGUUGACCUGUAAGACUUAGGACUCGUUAGAUAAAUACGAAUACCUCAGGUAGAAUAUAUCAUCUUUAAGAUAUUAUCGUCUUACGAUCUGUCGUUCUGAUGAUAAUAUUCUCGAAUAGGGUAUAUGACUCUAGGAACCUUUUUAAAUCCUAGAGUCUACAUGUGGUUGGAUUUCCUAUUCCUGGAACAUUUUCUCCAUGAAACAAUUAAUCAUAAUGUUCCAAUGAUCACAUACCCAACUGUACAUACAUAAACAUAAAAAUUUCAUGAUUAUAACACAUUUAGCAUGUGCCCAUUUUAAAGGAAUCUAAAGACUCUAUUGAUUGCAGGCAUUCAGAAGACUUAGGUAGCAAUCCAAAAAGUACUUAUUCAUUCAAGUUCAGGAAUCCAAAGCUAGGAUUUAUCAAGGGGUUGAUCUCAUACGUGAAAAAAAAUUAGAAGGAACAACUUUUGUGUUAAGUAUGAUGACUUGUUGAUUAUCAUGAACACCGAGGUGGAUGCUUGGGCCAUUUUUACUUUGACACAAUUCUAUGACCCUCCCUUGAGGUGUUGCACCUUCUAGUUGGCGCCAACACUGGAAGAGUUCUCACAUCCAACUAAUUAAGCGUCUAGGAAUGAAGCAGAUUUAUUGAUUUCGAAACAAAACAAAAAAUAACAAUGUCUUACUCUUGUACCAUCAAUUCAAGUAUGGGAAUUUUUGUAGGUUUUCCUUGUACGUAAACGUGUUUUUCGUGUCCAAGAGCAUGGAGCACGCCAACUAUGUCUGAAAAGAAACAUGAAUGUAGUUAUAUAUUAUAUUUUAUAUUAUUGUAGAGUAACUUGUGUUUAAAACUACGAGAGAGAAUAUUAUUGUCUCCAACUCUUUAUGAAAUUGUUUCUAUACUAACAAAUUCAAAAUAAUUGUGUGAAAUUAUGGAUCUGGAGUCUUAAAUUUGUUACAUCAGUCACUCGCAAAAACCAUGUCAUUUUUAAGCCUUUGAAUGAUUUGUAUGUUUGCAAAAGAGUUCUCUGAAGGAAAAAAAUAGCAAUAAAAUAUUGAAAUUAAUAAUUUUAUAAAGAAAAAAAUAAUAAUGUUAAAUAUUUAGAAUAUAAAAGUAUAUUUUGUUAACAACAAAUGCAAUAUUUGGGAUAAAGAGUUAAUACCUUCUCAUCUAACAAAAUGGUUUCUACGAAUAUUUGUUGUUCAUCGUUUAGCAGAUUAUAAACGUCUCACAAUCGAAAGACUCUAACUCGAAGUAACCAAUCAUCAUGAUUGGUGUUAAGAUCUAAGAUUGAAUUUUCCAUUGUUGAUUAUCUGGCAAUAUGGAUAUAUAAUGAAUCUAAUAGUUGUUAUGAUGGGGUAUUUAAAAGUUAACAAAUUGUUGUUUAUAUAUGUUUAUAGUUUUUAAACGCCUAAAUGAAUGUAAUUCUGAUAAUAAUAAAUGAAUAUUUUUAUUGUCAUUAUUUCAUGUCUUUUUAUGUUUAUAGUUCUUAAUCGGUUAAAUGAAUGUAAUUGUGAUAAUAAUAAAUGAAUAUUUUUAUUGUCAUUAUUUCAUGUCUUAUAUUUUUAAAAAUAUGGUAUAAAUCUUUAUAAUAAUAAUAAUAAUAAUAAUAAUAAUAAUAAUAAUAAUAAUAAUAAUAAUAAUAAUAAUAAUAAUAAUAAUAUACGUCUUUAUUAAGGUAUUUAUAAAGAGAGAAUAUUUUAUUUUUGUAACAUUUUAUUAUGUGUGGUUCAAUUUUCAGUAAUAAUUCAAAAUUUAAAUAUUUAUUAUUUUUAUUAUUGAAUUUAACUGUGAACAACUUUAAAUAUAGUUUAUUGUAAACAUUUUAUCAAGAUUCGGUUUUUAAAUAUAAUUCAGUAAUGAUUAAUAUAAUAAAAGAAUAAUAUUUCUAAAUUAUAAUGCAAUUAGAAUUCAAUUAAUGAUUAAUUAUAACAAAAUUAAAUUAAUCAAUUAUCUAGCAGAUAAGUAAACAAGCGUAUUAAUCAAUUUUGAUCAAGCUUAAACCAUUAUAAAAUUUUAUUAUAUUCACAUUCAACCAAUUAAGUGUCUAGGAAUGAAACAGAUUUAUUGAUUUGGAAAAAAACAAAAAAUAACAAUGAAACCAAGCUACAUACAUGUAUAUAAAAAACUAAAGUAUAGAACAUCAAAUCCAAAAAUAGAAACAGUGUAAAUAACCAUUCCCCAAGAAACUGAAGUGUCUAAAGCAACAAGUUUAUAACAAUAGCAAUGAGAGCAGGGAAAGUAGCAACGAUAGCAGUGGCCGAACCCGGUGAUGGAGGAGUUGCAUCAGGCUGAGUUGGAGAAGAAGGGGAUGGUGUUCCUCCGCUGGUAGGUGGAGUAGGAGAACAAUAGCAAUGAGAGCAGGGAAAGUAGCAACGAUAGCAGUGGCCGAACCCGGUGAUGGAGGAGUUGCAUCAGGCUGAGUUGGAGAAGAAGGGGAUGGUGUUCCUCCGCUGGUAGGUGGAGUAGGAGUGGUUCCAGAUGAAGGAGGAGUAGGUGAAGGAGGAGUAGAUGAAGGAGGAGUAGAUGAAGAAGAUGUUGGAACUUUAAUGGUUAGCUUUUGACCGCCAGAUUGACAAUGGGAUGAGACGGUACAUAUGAAAUAGAAAUCACCAGUUCUGUUAAGAGUCACUCUUGCUGGUGAUGUUGUUAUUAUGUCAUUUGUAUUUUGAUUCACAUUGCAGUUGUCAAAGUCUGCCUUGUUGGUUG